UACGUAGGGUGCAAGCGUUGUCCGGAAUUAUUGGGCGUAAAGAGUUCGUAGGCGGUUUGUCGCGUCGAAUGUGAAAACCCGGGGCUCAACCCCGGGACUGCAUUCGAUACGGGCAGACUAGAGUUCGGUAGGGGAGUCUGGAAUUCCUGGUGUAGCGGUGAAAUGCGCAGAUAUCAGGAGGAACACCGAUGGCGAAGGCAGAUCUCUGGGCCAUUACUGACGCUGAGGAGCGAAAGCAUGGGGAGCGAACAGG
rnacentral:rRNA from 1 species